rnacentral:rRNA from 1 species
AACGAACGUUAGCGGCGCGCCUAACACAUGCAAGUCGCACGAGAAAGGGCUUCGGCCCCGGUAAAGUGGCGCACGGGUGAGUAACACGUGGGUAAUCUGCCCUCGAGCAGGGGAUAACAUUCCGAAAGGAGUGCUAAUACCGUAUAAGACCACGACCUCGAAAGAGGAUGCGGUCAAAGCUGGCCUCUAUACAUAAGCUAGCACUUGAGGAUGACCCCGCGGCGCAUCAGGUAGUUGGUGAGGUAAUGGCUCACCAAGCCUAAGACGAGUAGCUGGUAUGAGAGGAUGCUCAGCCACACUGGAACUGAGACACGGUCCAGACUCCUACGGGAGGCAGCAGUGGGGAAUCUUGCGCAAUGGGCGAAAGCCUGACGCAGCGACGCCGCGUGAGUGAUGAAGGCCUUCGGGUUGUAAAGCUCUGUGGGGAGAGACGAAUAAGUGCAGCCUAAUACGUUGCAUGAUGACGGUAUCUCCUUAGCAAGCACCGGCUAACUCUGUGCCAGCCGCCGCGGUAAUAC